GAAUUACUGAAUGAGUGAAUAGUCACCAGUUUUGAAGAGAGCAGAAGACUGAUUCAACAGAGAAGUCCAAACACCUCUCUGUGAAGUGUUUUCAGAGUUCAUCCCCUGCUGAAAGUCUCCUCUAAGUUCUUUGCUGUUGCCCAGCCAACACCUGAGGGAUCACAAACAAACCUGGGAGUAAGUAAUUAAAAUUCAAAG